rnacentral:rRNA from 1 species
GACGAACGCUGGCGGCGUGCCUAAUACAUGCAAGUCGAGCGCAGCGGCGGUUGGGUAAGUAACGCGUGGGUAACAUGCCAUUAAGUCUGGGAUACCAUUUGGAAACAGAUGCUACUACCGGAUAAUAAAGGAUGGACCUGAGAUGCGUUAGACAGUUGGUAAGUUAACGGCUUACCAAGGCGAUGAUGCAUAGCCGAGUUGAGAGACUGAUCGGCCACAUUGGGACUGAGACACGGCCCAAACUCCUACGGGAGGCAGCAGUAGGGAAUCUUCCACAAUGGACGAAAGUCUGAUGGAGCAACGCCGCGUGAGUGAAGAAGGUUUUCGGAUCGUAAAGCUCUGUUGUUGGUGAAGCGGUAAUCAACCAGAAAGUCACGGCUAACUACGUGCCAGCCGCCGCGGUAAUAC